UCAUUCUUACCUCGCAAAGGCUCCAUACACCUCCGACCACAGCCAAAGAAACAACACCUUUUCUCUCCCUGGCAAUCAUCAUCAAACCGACAGGUUGCGUUCAUCCCCAGUGUCGCCUUUUUGACCUCUGCUGAUCUGCAGGAGCCACUAAAAGGCUCCCUUUAUACUAAAUAUCCUCUGGCUCCCUCCCAGCAUCUGCCAUCAAUGCUCAUUGGAUCUGAAGUCCUUCAUUUAGGGAGUUAGCACAGAACAGAGAAUUUAGAUCUGGCUGGGGGCUUUGCAGCAAUUAUGAUCCUGGGGAUGCUGAGGGACAGGACCCAGAAAUACUCUAGGGGAGGGAAAUAGCAUUUUAGUGACAAGCCCACAAAAGGCCAUCAGGAAGGUGAUCUCAGGACAGAAACAAUAGGUCUAAGUGUUAGGGAAUAAAGUCCCUUUUCCUUCCUUUUCA